AAGGGAGAGGCUUCCAGAGGGGUUUGGGGGGUGAAGAGAGGACAACUAUAUAGAAGAAAGGAGGGAGGUGUAGAAGGGGUCUUAGCUUUUGGUCGUCUUUUGCCAUUGGGUGUUGGCAAUGGUUGAAAGAAGACAUGGAAUAAUUUAAAGAUGGUGGUCCCAAAGAAUGGAGAAUUGAAUAUGGUCAUGCCCACCCCACCACCAUGCAGGUUAAGGUUUCUAUAUUU
rnacentral:lncRNA from 1 species